GACGAACGCUGGCGGCGUGCUUAACACAUGCAAGUCGAACGGAAAGGCCCUGCUUUUGUGGGGUGCUCGAGUGGCGAACGGGUGAGUAACACGUGAGUAACCUGCCCUUGACUUUGGGAUAACUUCAGGAAACCGGGGCUAAUACCGGAUAGGAGCUCCUGCUGCAUGGUGGGGGUUGGAAAGUUUCGGCGGUUGGGGAUGGACUCGCGGCUUAUCAGCUUGUUGGUGGGGUAGUGGCUUACCAAGGCUUUGACGGGUAGCCGGCCUGAGAGGGUGACCGGCCACAUGGGGACUGGGAUACGGCCCAGACUCCUACGGGAGGCAGCAGUGGGGAAUAUUGCACAAUGGGCGGAAGCCUGAGGCAGCAACGCCGCGUGCGGGAUGACGGCCUUCGGGUUGUAAACCGCUUUCGCCUGUGACGAAGCGUGAGUGACGGUAAUGGGGAAAGAAGCACCGGCUAACUACGU
rnacentral:rRNA from 1 species